CUGGGAUCGAAUCCCGGCCAUCUCCAAAAAUUUCAUUUUUCCUCCCUUCUUCUUCUUAUUAUCUCGCUAUCUAUUCUUUCUCGAACAGCAACAGUUUCAUCGAAAUCUCUCUCGAAUACUUUCUUCUUCGUCGAAAUCGAAAUCCAGUUUCAUCUUCAUAAAUUUCACACCCUAAAUCUCCAUUAAUAUUUACUCAAUUUCGACUUUAGAGUACAGAGUUUGGAUUUGGUUGAUUGAAUAUUCAAUCAUCUCUAACCUGUAACCCUAAAUUUGAAAUUGGGGAAUGGAUUGAACCAAAUCCACCAUCACCAACUUCGUCCUCUGCAUUCUACACCACUACCAUAAAAUCACCAUCAACGUUGUGUAUCAUAGGUAUUGAACCAAGAGUCUAUGGUAAUGGAGUUUACACAGGGUUGAGGAGUUCAGGAAAUUGGCGAGAUCAUGUCAAGAUGGAGAAGCAUGGCAGGUGACGAUUACAAAACUCUGACCAUAGCAGAGCUGCGGUGAGGACGAGCGUCCAUUAAAUGAGUUACUCAUGUUGCAGCUCGGAUCCGAGCACCCUAAGUGCUGUUACAACAUUUCUUUAUGUAAGAUUUUUGGUAGUCAUUGGAACCAUGAGAAAAGAAGGUUCCCACAAGGAGCAGAGACUGAAUUGGUCUAUGUGAAUAAAGGAGAGCAACAUAAGAGAGCUAGUGAAAUAGAACCAAAGCAAAUGCUGUACACAUAAAGAAACGAAAAACAAGUGAUUCUAAGCCAUGCAAAGUGGAAUCCCAACAAGAACACUUCCUUUCAUUGUCGCAGAAUUCAUCACCUUCCCAAUCUGACCAAGAGCAGACACCGAUUAAAGAAACACCUCGUCCAUUAUGUUUGUUGAAGCAACGUUUUCUGAAUCCAAAUGUAAACAAUGUCGAAGAGACUCAACCCAAUCAGAUUAGUAGUAGCAUUCGAAGUAGCCCACAAGAUUUUCAUUUUGUGUCAGGAGAAAAUCCUAGACACACCCCAAAGCAAGAACAGUUUCUACAUAUGAACGUAAGCUGGCCAGAAGGACAAUUUUCCAUGGAUCACAAACCAACUGAAGCUAUGCCAGUGCAUUUCUUGAUUGGAGCUGAUGUUCGAGGUAAAGUGGAUGGAGCAUUCGAUCCAGGAUUCCUAAUGACUGCAAAUGUUAAUGGCAAGAUCGUUAGAGGAAUCUUAUUUGCUCCUGUUAGUAUUAUCAAUGAUUCAAAGGUGUCCUUGUGUAAUGUAUUAAAAACAUUAAUUAACAAUUGUGGCCUAAAUUCUUUUUAGGGAAACGGGUUUGUACCAAGGGGUGCCGUUCUUCCUCCAAGUUCACCAGCUUUAGAUAAUUUAGUUUUGCGACAAAUUUUCGGUCGGCCAUCCCACCGUGGCAGCGUUGGAAUCUUAGGAUUCAUGUUGUGUAUGUAACAAGUAAAGACUCUUCUUAAUUAUGCAACAAGUACUACUUCCGUACUUGGGCAGGUAACAACUAAGUGGUUCUAGGACAUGGCA